rnacentral:tRNA from 1 species
GUCACAAGAUAGCUCAGUUGGUUAGAGCGUGGUGCUGGUAACGCCAAGGUUGCAGGUUCAAGCCCCAUAUGGGACA